GACGAACGCUGGCGGUGCGCCUUAUGCAUGCAAGUCGAGCGAAGCUUUUCAGUAGUUUACUACAGAAAAUGACUGAGCGGCGAACGGGUGAGUAACGCGUGAGCAAUCUACCUUAGUUACUGGGAUAGCCCGAGGAAACUCGGAUUAAUACCGGAUAUUCUUAUUUUUUCACAUGAAGUUUUAAGGAAAGGUCAGCCGAACUAAGAUGAGCUCGCGUUCUAUCAGCUAGUUGGUGGGGUAAAAGCCUACCAAGGCUACGACGGAUAGCUGGUCUGAGAGGACGAUCAGCCACACUGGGACUGAGACACGGCCCAGACUCCUACGGGAGGCUGCAGCAGGGAAUAUUGCGCAAUGAGCGAAAGCUUGACGCAGCGACACCGCGUGUGGGAUGACGGUUCUAGGAUUGUAAACCACUUUCAGGAGGGAAGAAAAUGACGGUACCUCCACAAGAAGACCCGGCCAACUACGUGCCAGCAGA
rnacentral:rRNA from 1 species